AAUAUACUCCCUCCGUUUUAAAUUAUUUGUCUUGAAAAUGGAUGCAUCUAGAAUUAAAAUACAUCUAGAUACAUCCAUUUCUCCAUUUCUGCGAUAAGUAAUUCCGAACGGAGGGAGUAUAUG
rfam:Triticum aestivum genome assembly, contig: Triticum_aestivum_CS42_TGACv1_scaffold_272300_3DS